UACGUAGGCAGCAAGCGUUGUUCGGAAUUACUGGGCGUAAAGCGUGUGUAGGCGGACGCCUAAGUGUCUUGUGAAAUCCCCCGGCUCACCCGGGGAACUGCUGGGCAUACUGGGCGUCUUGGGCCAACUAGGGGCAAGCGGAACAAGCGGUGGAGCGGUGAAAUGCGUAGAUAUCGCUUGGAACGCCGAAGGUGAAAACAGGCUGCUGGGGUUGUGCCGACGCUGAGACACGAAAGCCAGGGGAGCAAACAGG
rnacentral:rRNA from 1 species